rnacentral:rRNA from 1 species
AUUGAACGCUAGCGGGAUGCUUUACACAUGCAAGUCGAACGGCAGCGCGGACUUCGGUCUGGCGGCGAGUGGCGAACGGGUGAGUAAUGUAUCGGAACGUGCCCAGUAGCGGGGGAUAACUACGCGAAAGCGUAGCUAAUACCGCAUACGCCCUACGGGGGAAAGCAGGGGAUCGUAAGACCUUGCACUAUUGGAGCGGCCGAUAUCGGAUUAGCUAGUUGGUGAGGUAACGGCUCACCAAGGCGACGAUCCGUAGCUGGUUUGAGAGGACGACCAGCCACACUGGGACUGAGACACGGCCCAGACUCCUACGGGAGGCAGCAGUGGGGAAUUUUGGACAAUGGGGGCAACCCUGAUCCAGACAUCCCGCGUGUGCGAUGAAGGCCUUCGGGUUGUAAAGCACUUUUGGCAGGAAAGAAACGUCGCGGGCUAAUACCCCGUGGAACUGACGGUACCUGCAGAAUAAGCACCGGCUAACUACGUG